AGAAUCAACGCUGGCGGCGUGCCUAACACAUGCAAGUCGCACGAGAAAGGGUAGCAAUACCUGAGUAAAGUGGCGCACGGGUGAGUAACACGUGAAUAAUCUACCUCCGAGUGGGGAAUAACCUAGAGAAAUCUGGGCUAAUACCGCAUAACACUUACGAGUCAAAGCAGCAAUGCGCUUGGAGAGGAGUUCGCGGCAGAUUAGCUAGUUGGCGGGGUAAUGGCCCACCAAGGCGAUGAUCUGUAUCCGGCCUGAGAGGGCGCACGGACACACUGGAACUGAAACACGGUCCAGACUCCUACGGGAGGCAGCAGUGGGGAAUUUUGCGCAAUGGGGGAAACCCUGACGCAGCAACGCCGCGUGGAGGAUGAAAUCCCUUGGGAUGUAAACUCCUUUCGAUAGGGAAGAUAAUGACGGUACCUAUAGAAGAAGCCCGGCUAACUUCGUGCCAGCAGCCGC
rnacentral:rRNA from 1 species